rnacentral:rRNA from 1 species
CGNGGGAAACCUACNUNUUAGCGGGGGAUAACAUCUGGAAACAGAUGCUAAUACCGCAUAACACUAGCAACCGCAUGGUUGCUACUUGAAAGAUGGUUCUGCUAUCACUAAGAGAUGGUCCCGCGGCGCAUUAGUUAGUUGGUGAGGUAAUGGCUCACCAAGACGAUGAUGCGUAGCCGAGUUGAGAGACUGAUCGGCCACAAUGGGACUGAGACACGGCCCAUACUCCUACGGGAGGCAGCAGUAGGGAAUCUUCCACAAUGGACGAAAGUCUGAUGGAGCAACGCCGCGUGUGUGAUGAAGGGUUUCGGCUCGUAAAACACUGUUGUAAGAGAAGAAUAGCAUCAAGAGUAACUGCUUGGUGUCUGACGGU